rnacentral:pre_miRNA from 1 species
GGUAAGUGGAAAGAUGGUGGGCUGCAGAACAUGUGUGUUUCUCAUUUCAUAUGUCUGCUGGCCAUCACCUUGAAGGGUCUC